UGUACAUAUCUACAGGAAUGUAAAGUAGGAGGUAAUAUAAAAAAGUGUGAGAAGAUAUUCGUGCCAAUGUGGCACGAUGAGCAUUGGUAUAUGUGUGUGGUGGACAUGGGAAGCGAAGAAGUAUUAAUUUAUGAUUCAAUGAGAGGAGACGAGCAAACGGAUAUGAAUAGGCGCAGCUCCGUGGAGACAGUGAUUGAAAGGUUGGAAGCAGCGCUGACUUAUGGUUUGGAGGGGCAGUAUUCGUCAUGCCUUUG